rnacentral:rRNA from 1 species
AGAGUUUGAUCCUGGCUCAGGACGAACGCUGGCGGCGUGCCUAAUACAUGCAAGUCGAACGAACUCUGGUAUUGAUUGGUGCUUGCAUCAUGAUUUACAUUUGAGUGAGUGGCGAACUGGUGAGUAACACGUGGGAAACCUGCCCGGAAGCGGGGGAUAACACCUGGAAACAGAUGCUAAUACCGCAUAACAACUUGGACCGCAUGGUCCGAGCUUGAAAGAUGGCUUCGGCUAUCACUUCUGGAUGGUCCCGCGGCGUAUUAGCUAGAUGGUGAGGUAACGGCUCACCAUGGCAAUGAUACGUAGCCGACCUGAGAGGGUAAUCGGCCACAUUGGGACUGAGACACGGCCCAAACUCCUACGGGAGGCAGCAGUAGGGAAUCUUCCACAAUGGACGAAAGUCUGAUGGAGCAACGCCGCGUGAGUGAAGAAGGGUUUCGGCUCGUAAAACUCUGUUGUUAAAGAAGAACAUAUCUGAGAGUAACUGUUCAGGUAUUGACGGUAUUUAACCAGAAAGCCACGGCUAACUACGUGCCAGCAGCCGCGGUAAUACGUAGGUGGCAAGCGUUGUCCGGAUUUAUUGGGCGUAAAGCGAGCGCAGGCGGUUUUUUAAGUCUGAUGUGAAAGCCUUCGGCUCAACCGAAGAAGUGCAUCGGAAACUGGGAAACUUGAGUGCAGAAGAGGACAGUGGAACUCCAUGUGUAGCGGUGAAAUGCGUAGAUAUAUGGAAGAACACCAGUGGCGAAGGCGGCUGUCUGGUCUGUAACUGACGCUGAGGCUCGAAAGUAUGGGUAGCAAACAGGAUUAGAUACCCUGGUAGUCCAUACCGUAAACGAUGAAUGCUAAGUGUUGGAGGGUUUCCGCCCUUCAGUGCUGCAGCU